AUUGAACGCUGGCGGCAGGCCUAACACAUGCAAGUCGAACGAGUGGCGGACGGGUGAGUUAUGUCUGGGAAACUGCCCGAUGGAGGGGGAUAACUACUGGAAACGGUAGCCAAUACCGCAUACAUUCGGAUAUGCCCAGAGGGGAUUAGCUAGUAGGUGGGGUAACGGCUCACCUCGGCGACGAUCCCUAGCUGGUCUGAGAGGAGGCCCAGCAACACUGGAACUGAGACACGGUCCAGACGCCUACGGGAGGCAGCAGUGGGGAAUAUUGCACAAUGGGCGCAAGCCUGAUGCAGCCAUGCCGCGUGUAUGAAGAAGGCCUGCGGGUUGUAAAGUACUUUCAGCGAGGAGGCGUUACUCGCAGAAGAAGCACCGGCUAACUACGUGCCAGCAGCCGCGGUAAUAC
rnacentral:rRNA from 1 species